AACGAACGCUGGCGGCAGGCCUAACACAUGCAAGUCGAACGCUCCGCAAGGGGAGUGGCGCACGGGUGAGUAACACGUGGGAACCUACCUUCUGGUACGGAACAACCAAGGGAAACUUUGGCUAAGACCGGUAUACGACCUCCGGGUGAAAGAUUGAUCGCCGGAAGAGGGCCCGCGUCCGAUUAGGUAGUUGGUGAGGUAACGGCUCACCAAGCCUUCGAUCCGGUAGCUGGUCUGAGAGGAUGACCAGCCACACUGGGACUGAGACACGGCCCAGACUCCUACGGGAGGCAGCAGUGGGGAAUAUUGGACAAUGGGCGCAAGCCUGAUCCAGCC
rnacentral:rRNA from 1 species